rnacentral:ncRNA from 1 species
UCGGCUCCGGUUCACGCCUCCGCACCCCGCGAAUGCGACCCGGCGCC